CACGUAUUUAGCCGGGGCUUCUUCCUAUGAUACCGUCAUUAUCUUCUCAUAGGACAGAGCUUUACGAUUCGAAAACCUUCUUCGCUCACGCGGCGUCGCUGCAUCAGGGUUUCCCCCAUUGUGCAAUAUUCCCCACUGCUGCCUCCCGUAGGAGUCUGGACCGUGUCUCAGUUCCAGUGUGGCCGUUCAUCCUCUCAGACCGGCUACUGAUCGUCGCCUUGGUAGGCCUUUACCCUUCCAACUAGCUAAUCAGACGCGAGCCCAUCUUACACCGAUAAAUCUUUGACCCCUAUACCAUGCAGUAUUGUGGUCUCAUGCGGUAUUAAUCGUCGUUUCCAACGGCUAUCCCCCUGUGUAAGGUAGGUUGCUCACGUGUUACUCACCCGUUCGCCACUUUCAUUUACUUCCGUCCCCGAAGGUCCUUCCAUAAAAAUCACGUUCGACUUGCAUGUGUUAAGCACGCCGCCAGCGUCGUCCUCGUAGCCACGAGUCAAACUACU
rnacentral:rRNA from 1 species